AUGCCCUGUGAUUAUACAAAGACGCGUUAUUCUGAGGAACACACCUGCUACUGGUCUUUCCUCUACUGUCUACUCUGCCUUUAAUCUCCGCCAUCUUUCCUUUCCUCCCUUCACUUGUUCUACUCUUUUGGUCAAACUGGUAGCAGGUCCGCUGACUGCGAUUAUGAGAUAUGAGGGCAU
rnacentral:snoRNA from 1 species